UCCCGCCCAACAGUCGCGGUCUUGACAGGAAGUGGAGCUCGUGUUUUCCAGAAGCCUUUAAGCUCGAUGUGAUGAGCACUUGGUGGAAAAUGCAUCAAGGUGGAGAAACAAUGGGAUUCAUUUCCAGCAGGAGCUUCUAGUGGAGCAGAUUGAGGAUGGAGGGGAGGAGGUGAAGUUGGAAAGCAGCUUCACUAACUGGCACCACGCCCAGAUGUUAGGUAACGCCGCGCUCUAAUCUGCAGACGACUUGUGGGAGAGGAGAGACGGAGAAUCCUCCCGGGACCCACGGCUCUGCAGCCUCUACACCAGCGAUGCAAUCAGUGCAAAAAUGAUAAAAUGAUAAAAAAACAAACUCUCCAACAGUCGAGCCGUAAAUUUCCUCAACUUUGAUGUUUUCAUUACGCAAAUCUAAUCCUGAUUAAGAUGAAAUGAUUCCUCAAGAGUCAGAAUCGUGAGUCAUGUUCAUCAGAGUUUAUUUCCUGGCUUUGACAUUUAUUAAAGAAAUAUGUCGGGGAAGCUCGGCCUGACAGAUUGUGUUCACUCACAUUCGCCACA